AAGAAGCUCCUGGAGAACGGUUGGUCAUCUGAUAAAGAUGGCAGCACCUGUAGGGGUGUGGGAAACUACCGCCGGGAGCUAUUUUUAU
rnacentral:sRNA from 12 species